rnacentral:rRNA from 1 species
UACGUAGGGUGCGAGCGUUGUCCGGAAUUAUUGGGCGUAAAGAGCUCGUAGGCGGCUUGUCGCGUCGGAUGUGAAAGCCCGGGGCUUAACCCCGGGUCUGCAUUCGAUACGGGCAGGCUAGAGUUCGGUAGGGGAGAUCGGAAUUCCUGGUGUAGCGGUGAAAUGCGCAGAUAUCAGGAGGAACACCGGUGGCGAAGGCGGAUCUCUGGGCCGAUACUGACGUGAGGAGCGAAAGCGUGGGGAGCGAACAGG